UACAUUUGUUGGGUUGUUAAGCUCAGAGGAGUAUUGUUGCUGUCAUGGUAUCCUCCUUCAGACCACCACUUACCUCUUGGAGCUGUUGCCAUGGUUACAGGCUUGAUAUUACUCAAUAUCCUCAUCUCCAAAGUUGUAUCCAAAUUCAGUGCAUGUCACUGCUCCACUUUUUGAAUAUUGUACAACUGGUCAGAGUAAGCAGGGUGUGGCUACAAGCUUGUUCACACGAUUGAAAAAUGUGAGUCCAGAGAACAGAAAGGUUCCUGUAUACAUACGUCACUCGUCUCUGAGGCUGCCAUUCCGUCCGGUCAAUCCUGUCAUUAUGGUAGGACCUGGGACUGGACUGGCUCCUUUUCGUGGAUUCAUACAAGACAGAUCAACUGCAAUUAAAGAAAUUCUGAGUAUUAUAUUUUGGAAGGACAUCAAACUGAGUUUUCUGUCUCUUGUUGUCUGCCUGGUUACGUUGCUCACCCUCUAUCUUGAUACACUGCUACACACUGUUGUUCUUGUGUUGCUGGCGGCCAUGAUUGUCUCUUAUAUUCAUUGUGACAAAGAUUGCCAUUGAUUCUUUCUAUAAUAGACAAAUAAAAAACCCUUUUAAAAUUAACAUGCACCCUUUAGUACUAUAUCCAGUCUCCCAGUACAUGCACACAAGCAUUCUCUGUCUCUCAAUACAGCCACAUUCUCUCAUCAUGUACUAAUUACUCUAUCAUGACAGGAUAUACUGAAGGAAACAAUGAAAAAGAUCUUAGCAGCAGAGGAGGCUGUUCAAAUUGAGAACCCUGGUCACGAACAUGUAUAUGCAAACAGUGUCAACUAUUACUCCUGUGAUGAACAAAAUGAUAACGAACAAAAUGGUAAUGAAAAAAAAUGGUUUAGAAGGCUAGGACCUUGAAAGUACAUGUACAUGUACUUGGACACCUACAGUAUUGCUUUGUUAUAGAUACUGAAGACCUUACUCUUUUAAUUGAGGGAAACCAAAUUUUAGAGAAGCCCUUCUCUGAGCACAUUAAUACAAGCAUCUUGAGCACUGAAGAUGACAAUAUGUUUCCUUUAUCUGUACAAGCAUAUUUUGAGACAAGCCAGGAAUGGGUUGUAAAUAAUAUUGAAAUGAGCAAUAAGAACUGAAUUAAAAAAUACAAAAAUAGGCACAUGACAAUGUUUUAAUUAUGUUUCAUCAUUAUUUUGUAAGUGAUUUUCAAUAAAAGUGUCAUAUUCACCAGUGAAAUCAAAUAA